rnacentral:rRNA from 1 species
CACGUAGGUGGUUAUAUAAGUCACUUGUGAAAUGCCUGAGCUCAACUUGGGCCUGUCGAGUGAAACUGUAUAGCUUGAGUUCUGUAGAGGGUAGUGGAAUUUCUGGUGUAGCGGUGAAAUGCGUAGAUAUCAGAAGGAACACCCGUGGCGAAGGCGGCUACCUGGACAGAAACUGACACUGAGGUGCGAAAGCGUGGGUAGCGAACAGGAUUAGAUACCCUGGUAGUCCACGCCGUAAAUGGUGUCAACUAGCUGUUGGUACUUUAUAAGUACGAGUAGCGAAGCUAACGCGCUAAGUUGACCGCCUGGGGAGUACGGCCGCAAGGUUAAA